rnacentral:rRNA from 1 species
GUAACACGUGAGUAACCUGCCCUUAACUCUGGGAUAAGCCUUGGAAACAGGGUCUAAUACUGGAUAUUGACUUUAUCUCGCAUGGGGUUUAGUUGAAAGAUUUAUCGGUUUUGGAUGGACUCGCGGCCUAUCAGCUUGUUGGUGAGGUAAUGGCUCACCAAGGCGACGACGGGUAGCCGGCCUGAGAGGGUGACCGGCCACACUGGGACUGAGACACGGCCCAGACUCCUACGGGAGGCAGCAGUGGGGAAUAUUGCACAAUGGGCGAAAGCCUGAUGCAGCGACGCCGCGUGAGGGAUGACGGCCUUCGGGUUGUAAACCUCUUUCAGUAGGGAACAAGGCCACAUUUUGUGUGGUUGAGGGUACUUGCAGAAGAAGCGCCGGCUAACUACGUGCCAGCAGCCGCGGUAAUACGUAGGGCGCAAGCGUUAUCCGGAAUUAUUGGGCGUAAAGAGCUCGUAGGCGGUUUGUCGCGUCUGCCGUGAAAGUCCGGGGCUCAACCCCGGAUCUGCGGUGGGUACGGGCAGACUAGAGUGAUGUAGGGGAGACUGGAAUUCCUGGUGUAGCGGUGAAAUGCGCAGAUAUCAGGAGGAACACCGAUGGCGAAGGCAGGUCUCUGGGCAUUAACUGACGCUGAGGAGCGAAAGCAUGGGGAGCGAACAGGAUUAGAUACCCUGGUAGUCCAUGCCGUAAACGUUGGGCACUAGGUGUGGGGGACAUUCCACGUUUUCCGCGCCGUAGCUAACGCAUUAAGUGCCCCGCCUGGGGAGUACGGCCGCAAGGCUAAAACUCAAAGGAAUUGACGGGGGCCCGCACAAGCGGCGGAGCAUGCGGAUUAAUUCGAUGCAACGCGAAGAACCUUACCAAGGCUUGACAUGAAC